rnacentral:rRNA from 1 species
CCUACGGGAGGCAGCAGUAGGGAAUCUUCCACAAUGGGCGAAAGCCUGAUGGAGCAACGCCGCGUGGGUGAAGAAGGUCUUCGGAUCGUAAAACCCUGUUGUUAGAGAAGAAAGUGCGUGAGAGUAACUGUUCACGUUUCGACGGUAUCUAACCAGACAGCCACGGCUCACUACGUGCCAGCAGCCGCGGUAAUACGUAGGUGGCAAGCGUUAUCCGGAUUUAUUGGGCGUAAAGGGAACGCAGGCGGUCUUUUAAGUCUGAUGUGAAAGCCUUCGGCUUAACCGGAGUAGUGCAUUGGAAACUGGGAGACUUGAGUGCAGAAGAGGUGAGUGGAACUCCAUGUGUAGCGGUGAAAUGCGUAGAUAUAUGGAAGAACACCAGUGGCGAAAGCGGCUCUCUGGGCUGUAACUGACGCUGAGGUUCGAAAGCGUGGGUAGCAAACAGGAUUAGAUACCCGAGUAGUC